AUCCAGAUGAUGAGUCCCAAAUAGAACGAAACGGGUGUCCUGGAU
rnacentral:hammerhead_ribozyme from 1 species